CACACUCAGGGAAAGAUGACUACACAGAGCUCUACACAAGGGGCAGCAUUUGGGGCCCGUGGUAGAGUUCUAUCUACCUGCCAAAUGAAGUAAACACAUGUUUAGCAACUUGAGAUCUCUGUGAAGUAAAUAUCACCAAAUAAACCCAGCCGCUCCAAGCAAGAAGAAAGCUCAGAGUAUGAUAAUCAAAUGUCAAGGGUGCAACUCGAAAUGUAACGUCAUACAGAGCUCUCAGAUGAGCAGAAGUCCACUGUGUAUCUGCACCGCAUUUUCAUUACCUGUUCACCGUCGGUAGACAUUGGGGCUGUUUUUGUGCUUCCUGGCUGCUAGGAAGAGAGCAGCAAUGAGCACAGACGAAAAGAGUCCUCCUUGUAGAACCGGCCUAUUGUCCCGUGUUUAUAGCACAACCGUAUGCAUAUGAUCCCCUCUCUGGCAGUCUGCCUCUAGGCUUACCUGUCCGCCCACCAUUCAGCCAAGCCCAGUGCUGCCAUCGUCAGCAGCAGAAAGUUGGAAGAACUAACUGGGUAACAACACAAAAGGAAAGCAGACUCUUUGUUGGCUCUCCUGACUGCGUUGUAUCAUAAUUAUCGUUUUAUGCAGCCUCGGAAUUAUUUUUUAUUCCCCUCAGGCGACGGUGCAGAAAGCAAAUGCUUCUUUCAUUUUUACAUGCUUCAGUGUUAAUACAUGUACAGACCCUGUGAGCUGACAAUUAUUA
rnacentral:sRNA from 1 species